UUGAUUUGUUUGAUAUAUGGGUUUGGCAUAGUUUAGAACUGACAGUUGUCUCGUCCUGUGUCCUCUUGAUCAAUUUAUCUGAUCUCGUACUGUUAUUUCUUCAUCAGAUUUUUGCCAGCCCAUUUCACGAAAAUAUGAUCUUUUGAUCCAAUAAUUUAGUUUUGACAGUUUUCUUGGAUGCAAAAGGAUAUCUAUAAUUUGAUCAAAAAUGCUACUAGAUUGUGAAACACUUUUCAUAUCAUUAGAACCUAUAAUUUGUCCUCUUUUCCAAGGCUACAUGCUAGGUUCAUAUUUCUAAAGUAGUAGUGCCGUUUCAAAGCAGAAAAAAGGAAGUGGAAAUUAUCUUCCAUCUUGCUUGAAAUUGCAAAUUUCCAUUCACCACUGCCCUUAUUUUCCACUCUAACCAUUGUCAGACUGUAUAUCGACGAGUGGCUUCAUAUGAGAAUGCAGAAGAUUUUCGACGGGAUGUGAGUCUAGUGCUAGCUCCUGUUCGACGAGGAGGUGAGGCAAUUUUAUGGGCUGCUGGCAAGCUAGAAACAAACCGUAAUGGACUACCCACCUCUCCCUCAUCUGCUGAUGUCCAAAGCAGGGUGUUGCAAGCUGCAGCAAAGCAUGAAUCUCAACCGUCUGAUAGCGAAGAAGUGCAAGACUCGUCUCGAGUUUCUGGCAAUGAGAAUGUAGAUUUAUCUGAAGCAUAGAACUGAAAAAUUACACUGCGUUUUAUUAUCGUUCUUUGUUUCUUGGUCAUAUUUCAUAAUCUAUAGGAACUCGAUGAUGCCAAGCAAGUUGAUAUUUCUCGUGUUUUUAGAAAUAUGUUUCAUUUCUCUGAAAAUUAUGUGAUGUUGAUAACAAGAAAUACUUGUAAUACUGAAAUUCUAGUUUGUCCAUCAUGACCUGGAGACGAAAUACAUACAUUUGGACAUGAUUUUACAGAAA